rnacentral:rRNA from 1 species
GACGAACGCUGGCGGCGUGCUUAACACAUGCAAGUCGAGCGGAGCGGCGAACGGGUGAGUAACGCGUGAGUAACUGCCCCCCUCUCUGGGAUAACAGUUGGAAACGGCUGCUAAUACCGGAUAGUGGGGGAUGCCUCGCGUCCUAUCAGCUUGUUGGUGGGGUAGUGGCCUACCAAGGCGACGACGGGUAGCCGGCCUGGGAGGGGGACCGACCACAUUGGGCUGAGAUACGGCCCACACUCCUACGGGAGGCAGCAGUGGGGAAUAUUGCACAAUGGGGGGAGCGCUGAUGCAGCAACGCCGCGGGCGUGAUGACGGCCUUCGGGUUGUAAACCGCUUUCAGCCAUUACGCGGUAGUAGCAGAAGAAGCACCGGCUAACUACGUGCCAGCAGCCGCGGUAAUUC